rnacentral:rRNA from 1 species
CAGUUCGGAUUGGAGUCUGCAACUCGACUCCAUGAAGCUGGAUUCGCUAGUAAUCGCGCAUCAGCCACGGCGCGGUGAAUACGUUCCCGGGCCUUGUACACACCGCCCGUCAAGCCAUGGAAGCCGGGGGGUGCCUGAAGUACGUGACCGCAAGGAGCGUCCUAGGGCAAAACCGAUGACUGGGGCUAAGUCGUAACAAGGUACC